GGUGGCAUAAUGGCUAGAGCGUCCGCCUUGGCAGCGGGAGAGCUGGGGUUCGAAACCCGGCAGAUUCA